rnacentral:rRNA from 1 species
GACGAACGCUGGCGGCGUGGAUUAGGCAUGCAAGUCGAACGGUAUCAUCCUUUCGGGGGUGAGAGAGUGGCGAACUGGUGAGUAACACGUAGGUUAUCUACCCUCAAGACGGGGACAACCCAGGGAAACUUGGGCUAAUACCGGAUGUGAGCAACUUUUAGUUGUUUGAAAGGUGGCGUAAGCUGUCGCUUGGGGAUGAGCCUGCGUCCUAUUAGUUAGUUGGUGAGGUAACGGCUCACCUAGGCAAUGAUAGGUAGGCGGCCUUAACGGGUGGUCGCCCACACUGGGAUUGAGAUACGGCCCAGACUCCUACGGGAGGCAGCAGUCGAGAAUAGUCUACAAUGGUCGGAAGACUGAUAGUGCGACGCCGCGUGAACGAUGAAUCCCUUCGGGGUGUAAAAGUUCUUUUAUAUGUGAGCAGUGCUUCUUAUAUUAACAGUAUGGGGAGAGAGAUAUUAGCAUAUGAAUAAGCAAACGGCUAAACUCCGUGCCAGCAAGCCCG